rnacentral:rRNA from 1 species
CGCCCUUAGAGUUUGAUCAUGGCUCAGGACGAACGCUGGCGGCGUGCCUAAUACAUGCAAGUCGAACGCAGCUUGCUUUGGUAAGAUGAGUGGCGAACGGGUGAGUAACACGUGGGUAACCUGCCUAUCAGAGGGGGAUAACACUUGGAAACAGGUGCUAAUACCGCAUAGAUUUCUUUCGCAUGAAAAGAGAGGAAAGACGUACGUGUCACUGAUAGAUGGACCCGCGGUGCAUUAGCUAGUUGGUGAGGUAACGGCUCACCAAGGCCAUGAUGCAUAGCCGACCUGAGAGGGUGAUCGGCCACACUGGGACUGAGACACGGCCCAGACUCCUACGGGAGGCAGCAGUAGGGAAUCUUCGGCAAUGGACGAAAGUCUGACCGAGCAACGCCGCGUGAGUGAAGAAGGUUUUCGGAUCGUAAAACUCUGUUGUUAGAGAAGAAUAGGUAGGAGUGACUUCCUGCCAUGACGGUAUCUAACCAGAAAGCCACUGCUAACUACGUGCCAGCAGCCGCGGUAAUACGUAGGUGGCAAGCGUUGUCCGGAUUUAUGGGCGUAAA